CCGCCGCCUCCUCAGCGCCAGUCCUCAGCGCUGAAAAGACUCUUCCCUUCGUCGCCCAACCGCCCCUUCAGUAGGGACCGCCCCUCUUUUUGACACUGUCCAAUCCACAGUGGGCGCUUUCGUCCUCCCCGCCCUCGCCACCAAAGGAUCGUUCUCCAGGGCCAACAGUCGUACAAAAAGCCGGUGUAGGUAUGUCCGGCCAGAGGUAGACGGCCCGCGGGGCCAAUCGGAGUGCAGGCAGGGCAGCAGGCCCCGCCUCCGAAACAACAGAAAGCACUUGACAGGCUUGCUCUCCAAUGAGAAGCCCCGGAAAAGUGUCGCGCGGAGGCGGAGCCACGCGGUACAGCCACCUCUGCGCCUGCUCAAAGGCCCUGGACACUUGGAGUCUAGAUGGGGAAACUGACAUGAAGAGGAGUCCAAAGUGACACGGUCAGGCCAGAAAUGUUGCUUCUGAAGUCCUGAGUCC
rnacentral:lncRNA from 10 species